GACGAACGCUGGCGGCGUGCCUAAUACAUGCAAGUCGAGCGGAGUUAUCCUUCGGGGUAACUUAGCGGCGGACGGGUGAGUAACACGUAGGCAACCUGCCUGCAAGACCGGGAUAACAUUCGGAAACGAAUGCUAAUACCGGAUACGCAGUUUCCCCGCAUGAGGGAACUGGGAAAGGCGGCGCAAGCUGUCACUUGCAGAUGGGCCUGCGGUGCAUUAGCUAGUUGGUGGGGUAACGGCUCACCAAGGCGACGAUGCAUAGCCGACCUGAGAGGGUGAUCGGCCACACUGGGACUGAGACACGGCCCAGACUCCUACGGGAGGCAGCAGUAGGGAAUCUUCCGCAAUGGACGCAAGUCUGACGGAGCAACGCCGCGUGAGUGAUGAAGGUUCUCGGAUCGUAAAGCUCUGUUGCCAGGGAAGAACAGCCAGGCGAGUAACUGCGCUUGGAAUGACGGUACCUGAGAAGAAAGCCCCGGCUAACUACGUGCCAGCAGCCGCCGUAACAC
rnacentral:rRNA from 1 species